rnacentral:rRNA from 1 species
CCUACGGGAGGCAGCAGUGGGGAAUAUUGCACAAUGGGGGAAACCCUGAUGCAGCGACGCCGCGUGAGCGAUGAAGUAUCUCGGUAUGGUAAGCUCUAUCAGCAGGGAAGAAAAUGACGGUACCUGUACAAGAAGCCCCGGCUAACUACGUGCCAGCAGCCGCGGUAACACGUAGGGGGCAAGCGUUAUCCGGAUUUACUGGGUGUAAAGGGAGCGUAGGCGGCGUGGCAAGCCAGAUGGGAAAGCCCGGGGCUCAACCCCGGGACUGCAGUUGAAACUGGGCUGCUAGAGUGUCGGAGGGGUAGGCGGAAUUCCUAGUGUAGCGGUGAAAUGCGUAGAUAUCAGGAGGAACACCAGUGGCGAAGGCGGCCUGCUGGACGAUAACUGACGUUGAGGCUCGAAAGCGUGGGGAGCAAACAGGAUUAGAUACCCGUGUAGUC